AUUGAACGCUGGCGGCAGGCCUAACACAUGCAAGUCGAAUGGUAACAGGAAACAGCUUGCUGUUUCGCUGACGAGUGGCGGACGGGUGAGUAAUGUCUGGGAAACUGCCUGAUGGAGGGGGAUAACUACUGGAAACGGUAGCUACUACCGCAUAACGUCGCAAGACUAAAGAGGGGGACCUUCGGGCCUCUUGCCAUCAGAUGUGCCCAGAUGGGAUUAGCUAGUAGGUGGGGUAACGGCUCACCUAGGCGACGAUCCCUAGCUGGUCUGAGAGGAUGACCAGCCACACUGGAACUGAGACACGGUCCAGACUCCUACGGGAGGCAGCAGUGGGGAAUAUUGCACAAUGGGCGCAAGCCUGAUGCAGCCAUGCCGCGUGUGUGAAGAAGGCCUUCGGGUUGUAAAGUACUUUCAGCGGGGAGGAAGGGAGUAAAGUUAAUACCUUUGCUCAUUGACGUUACCCGCAGAAGAAGCACCGGCUAACUCCGUG
rnacentral:rRNA from 1 species